AGCCCUUUACCGUCACUACGAAGCGGAAGUGACGUAAAUAAUGUCUUUGCUAACACAGUAAAAUGUGGUUACGCAUGGAAGAACUUUGAGCACCGAUGUACAAUGUAUGUAAUCAUCAAAUAUACUUUUAAACGCCAAAUUUCUGGUGAUUGAAUUGGAAAAUUUUACUCUAUAGUGAUUAAAUAAUUUCCUGUACAUACUUAAAGGUGGGAAAUAUUUAUCCAGCGCAGCAAAGAAUUUCCAAGAAAGAAUAUCAGAUGACACUGGCGUCAAAGGAAUUUUUAUACUUCAGAUACAUCAUCAUUAUUUAUCAUCUUUUAAAAACUAAAGGCAAGAUGUUAUACUGAAUAGACUGAUAUAGUCCUCUUUAUAGAAAUUUAUGGUCGAAUUACUACAAAAUAUUUCUUCUGAAUGAGAUUAAUAACAAAGAUUUCUCUACUUCACUAUUUGGAAUGUGUGGAACAAAAUGAUUUUGUUUUCAAAUAAACUUGGUCAAAUUUAUCAAGAAGUUUGUAGCCUCUUUAGAUAUCAGCAAAGACCACAGUUGUACAGUUGAUAGAGAUAUAUCCGAAAAAAUAUUUGUUAGUAUUAAAUAAGGAGAAAGCUAUUGUAUGGUGCUGAAUGAAAGAAAAUUAUGGAAAGUGAAUUAUGUAAGAACAAGGUAAAAUUUCAAACAGUGAGAAGGACUGAUUUUUCUGGAGAGGGAGUCAAAAUAUAUCACUGUGAAGUCUGUAAAAAAUCAUUCUCUCAUAAAGGAAACCUAACUACCCACAAACAUAUUCAUACAGGAGUGAAACCAUAUCACUGUGAUAUCUGUGGUAAAUCAUUCUCUCAUAAAAAUAAUUUGACUGAACACAAGAGCAUUCAUACAGGAGAGAUGCCAUACCAUUGUGAUAUCUGUGGUAAAUCAUUCUCUUUACGUAGUAGCUUAAUUAAACAUAGACGUAUUCAUACAGGAGAGAAGCCAUAUCAUUGUGAUAUCUGUGGUAAAUCAUUCUCUCAUGGAAAUACUUUGACUAUACACAAGCAUAUUCAUACAGGAGAGAAGCCAUACCAUUGUAAUAUCUGUGGCAAAUCAUUCUCUGGAAGUUGUAACUUAACUACACACAAACGUAUUCAUACCGGAGAGAAACCAUAUCACUGUGAUGUUUGUGGUAAGUCAUUCUCUCAAGGAAGUAACCUAACAAGCCAUAGACAUAUUCAUACAGGAGAGAAACCAUAUUACUGUGAUAUCUGUGGUAAGUCAUUCUCUCAAAAUGAUCACUUAACUAAACACAAACGUAUUCAUACAGGUGAGAAACCAUAUCAUUGUGAUAUCUGUGGUAAAUCAUUCUCUGAAAAUUGUAACUUGACUAAACACAAACGUAUUCAUACAGGAGAAAAGCCAAAUCAGUGUGAUAUCUGUGGUAAAACAUUCUCCAUAAGUUGUAAGUUAAUUACUCACAAACGCACUCACACAGGGGAGAAGCCAUAUCACUGUGAUAUUUGUGAUAAAUCCUUCUCUCUAAGUAGUGUCUUAACUAAACACAAACAUAUUCAUACAGGAGAGAAGCCAUUUCAUUGUGAUAUAUGUGGUAAAUCAUUUUCUGAAAAUGGUGGGUUAACUAGUCACAUACGUAUUCAUACAGGAGAGAAGCCAUAUCACUGUGAUAUCUGUGGCAAGUCAUUCUCUGGAUCUAGUGACUUAACUAAACACAAACGUAUUCAUACAGGAGAAAAACCAUAUCACUGUGAUAUCUGUGGUAAAUCAUUCUCUCAAGGAAGUAACUUAACUAGCCAUAGACAUGUUCAUACAGAAGAGUAACCAUAUCGUUGUCAACAGACAUUCUUUAAAAAUGAAAGUUAUCUAACAAUAAUUUUUUCACACAGGAAACAGGAUAUAACUUUGAUAAAUAACCAAUUCUAUAUAACCACAACUAUAUCUUCACUGGUGAGAUAACUUACCUCAUUGAUAUUUUUAAUAGAAACUAUAACAUGCUUCUGGAAUACUCAUAUUUUGUGUAACAUGUAUUUUCAUGAGAGAGAUGUGAUACAUCUGUUUUAUUUGAUGUGUAAAAAUAUAUAUUCAUAUAUCAUAACUAAAGUCACUGUAUAGUUAUAUUAUGAAUAAAUACACAAAGUAUAAAUGAAAAUAUUUCAUCAUACAAUAAUAAGAUCUAUGUUUAACGACUCAUAUUCUUGUUCUUAGAUUCAUUCUUUCAUGUGUUAUCUAUCAAUAUUUCUCAUUCGAUUUCAUCCAUGCUUUGCAAAUAAAUAUAUCACUUAUGUUCCACGGAAAGUUCUACACUGUUUGGAUUUGUCACUGGGGCAUCUAGGUUCAGAAGGUCAGAAAAACCUUCUAUAGUGAUUAUUGUGGACAAAAGAGGUAACUCUUUGCUAAGUAACGGGCAAAAAUUGAUUGUCUCCCUUACACCGGAAGGUGUGUGUGUGUGUGUGUGGCCUCAAUCUCAGAAACAUCCUACAACGUACACAGUUCGGUAAAUUCCGUAAAAAAUUUUUAUUUAUUUAUUUCUGUGGCUGGAAAUGUACAUUUCGUUUGAUGUCAGCAUAAAGUGACAUCAUGAGAAAUGUACAUUUCCACCCACAAAAAUUAAUUUAUGAAAUUUUUUUACGGAUUUGACCGAACGCUUUACCUUAAAAGCUGUUGGAUCAGAUGUUUAGUUUGACAUUUUUGCGAGUCAUAUUGAAAAAUUGCCCAAUUUCGUCUUCAGAAACAUCUACACACACUAGCGGAAUCAUCUUAGACGAACCCGGUGGAACUGGAAAAACAUUCCUCCUGAAUCUUCUUGCGAAGCUGCUGUUGCAGUUGCCUGCUCAGGAAUAGUCUCGACGGCAGCCGAACAGCACACUUUACCUUCAAAUUGCCUUUCAAUGUAGCACAUCAGGAAAACUCAAUGUGCCGAAUAAUGCAUUCCUCGGACGAAGCGACAAUUUUGUAAAAGUGUAAACUCAUUGUUUGGGAUGAAGCAACUAUGUCCCAGAAAUGUUCCCUACAAGCACUUCAUACCACAAUGUGAGACCUUAGAUCAAACAACAACAUCCUUGGAGGUGCGACUCAACUUCUUGCAGGAAAUGUUUGACAAACUCUAUUAUACCCAAACGAACACCGCUGAUGAACAUAAUGCCUGCCUUAAAAAAUCCCUGCUUUGGUCGCAUGUCCAAUCGAAACAACUUACCAUCAACAUGAGAUCACUCCUACAGACUGGUCAGCCUACAACCCAGUUUUCGGCAAUGGACAAAUUACGUCCGAUGACAAUGGAUUCAUCGACACUACCACCAUUUGUCACACUGACUUAUGUUCUGCCGUUUACCCAAAUCUUACAACGGAAUGCAUAAAACCAGACUGGCUUCGUGACAGGGCUGUUCUUGCACCUUCAAAUGCAGCUGUCAACACUCUUAACUACGACUUACUCAGCUACCUUCUCUAGAACAUUGUUACAGAUCAGUUGACACCGUUACCGACCUCGAUCAGGUUACACAAUUUCUAAGAGAAUUUCUCAACUUCCAAGAACCCCCAGGACUCCUUCCCCAUGAACUUCACUUUAAAGUCGGUUGCGCAAACUAAACGCACCCACACUAUACAAUGGAACUCAUCUUGUGGUCAAACAAAUGAUGGACCACGUCAUUGAAGCCCAAAUUAUCACGGACAGGGCAAAAACGAUACCGUUUUCGUUCUGAAAAUUCCGCUAACCCCAACAGACUGCCCCUACACUAUGUAGAGACUUCAAUUCCCUCUGAAACUCAGCUUCGCCAUGACAAUUAACAAAGCACAAGGUUAGUUGCUGAAGUUGUCAGAUUGGACCUUCAAACAUCGUGCUUUUCACAUGGACAGUUCUAUGUCAGUUGUUCCAGAGUUGGCCAUCCAGACAACUUAUUCAUCUAUGCUCCUGAAGGAAAAACCAAAAAUGUCGUUUACAAAACAGCCCUACAGUAGUUAUUCCUCUACUGAAUUCUUCACAUCUACACCAAACUGUAGCCGUUAGCUAUCACACUUCUUGCAAGCAUUUCAUUGAUAUUUUGCUUCAUUCCCCUGAUUGCUGUUAACAGUACAUUACCUUCAAUGACCCCUCUUCGUGCAUGCUCUGGCAUUUAUUUUUGUAUAUGCUAUUUUUCUAUUUGUGUGUUUGCUAUGAACGUUUGCUUUUCUUUAUCAUACAUGACUUUCAUUGAAAAAAAAAAAAAAAGACUUCAAUGCGGUUGUCUGGUAUUACGAGAAAAAUAAGUAAUGAUGCAAAAUGCAUCAAGUAAGAUAUAGGAUUCCUAAUGCCUACUGCAAUUGCAAUCCCAUUUCAUGGACUUUCAUUUAUUACUAACUGCCAAAUUUGCAUUCAAAAAAAUUUAUUCAUUACCUAAGUUUCUUAAUACCAUAUCAUAAACUGCUAACGAAAAUGCUAAUUAUACAUUUUAUGUUUAUCAACUUGAAACGACUUCUAACUGCAGGCUAAUUCAACUUAAACCGUCCACAGGAGUGCACCAUUAUAAUAAUUACACUGUUCAAAGGAGGAGUGCGUUGGCUAGUAUAUAUAAAAUACUUUGUCUCUCUGUCUGUUCCCAAUGCAUUCUCAAACGGCUGAACUAAAUCAAAUCAAAUUUUACAUGGUAAUACUAUCACAUCCCAGGAGUGUCAACAUGUAAUUUUUUUGGAUUAAAACGAUGCAACAUUGGCACUGGUUCUGUAUUACGUGUCAAAACUUGAAGAAUAACAGUGAAAGAAUAACAUCUAUAUUGAAAUCAACACCAGCAAUCCAAUGUCAACCCUUCGCCUUCUGCAACAUUUCAACAGUUCACUUCCCUGACGCCGUCUCCCAUUGCAGCCCAUUUCCAGAAUGUACCCAUUUACGUACAAUAUCUCCAUUAUACCUCCAUUGAUUUCACUGUCAAUCAUAGGAUGGGUUAUGUUAGAUGCAGCGCUGACCCCUCGAAGGCGAGUAUAUCCACUAACAGCUUUUAGAUGGUUUCAAAAAUUACACCUCCACUCCCAAUUUUCCAUGAUUGGUUAGGCCAUAGUCUCCUCCAAACGGACAUAUAUGUUGUUUAGUCGAAUUAGGCCAUCAUUUACUCCACCUAUUUCAACAUAACUGUAAUAUAUAUACAUAUAUACAAACUAUACCAUUUUAAUCCCGAGCAGCGUCGUGUAUCUCUGCUAGUACCUGAUAUAAAAUUUGAUACGGAAAUGAUUCUGUUUUUGGUAUGGCCUACAUAAUUUAAUUGUUACUUUUAUUUAAAACACUGUUACUUCAAGAAUUUAUGGUUAAGCUGAAUCUCAAUUUGCAAUUGUCUCUUUAAUAUAUUCAUAUGACAGAAUUCUUCAUUCUCCUCUAACUUUCCCCAACUGUGCAUCAUUCACAUGCAGCCUAGAUACUACACAUCGAGCCCGCAUUGAUUCCAUAAGCAAAAACUUUGGAAGAAUCCUUCUGUGGAACCAUGCCAACCUUGUCUCUAUUGACAGAAAAAAACCGCUCAAGCACUGCUCGCAUCAAGAAAACAUUACUACACUGCAUCCCCUCCCACCAUCACUAAAAAUGAAGUAUACUUAGCUAGAACUUUUGAAGUUGUUCUGAAUGCCGGGCCUCAUUAUCACUGAGGAUAUCUCCCAGGGAAAACGUCCUUAACAUAACUAGUACUGCAAGCUGGCCCUUCCUUUACGAGUCAGAAAAUAUUUCAGCCCCACAACAGCUGUAGACACUCUACAAGACUCAGGUAAAGCCCAUAAUGGAGUACUGCUGUCACAUCUGGAAUGGUGUUCUUAUACAUCUUGGAGAAGGGCCACUCAGCUAAUUCAUAUUCUAUCACUUAUGGACAUACUCUAGCCUAGUAAGUCUCAACCGGAGUCCAUAUGAUCCGCUUGGUUUUUUUUUUUGCUUUUCGAUCGCCCCUUUGUACAAGUGGUAAAAGUUCAAAUGUACAAAGCGGAGAUCGAAAAGCAAAAAGAAAAAAAAGCGUGUAGCAUGAAGCACAGGCAGUAAACAAAAAUAAAAUAGAACAGAGUGGUGACAUUUAGUAGAGACAACCCAGAAGUUGUUGCUCUUCGAUUACAGCAGAAGUUUUCCGCAAUUGAAUACAUGUUGAUUGGUUAAAAUUAUCCAAAUACGACAACUUUAACACGAAAUAACUUCUAUAAUGCGAAAUUUUGUCAAAAAUGUCGAAAGUAAACCGUGUUCAGCGUGAGAAAUUACACCAGUAUACGAAGUUUCAAACUGUUUAGUUAAAAAAAAAAAAAAGAAUAAUUAAAAAAUCUGUGAGCGAAACUGAAGAGAUUCAGAUUUUGUUAUUAAAACUUGUCUGCAAUAAAUCAUAUUUCUACAUUGCUCA